UCUUGAAUAUGAUAUCAAAAACUGUAAAAGGCCUAUAUAAAUAUGCACCAUGUGUUGGGUUUUCCCAGAUCUAAUCACAUGUGAACAUGAGUGCAGCUGUCAGACAGAGAGGUGAGCAGCCAUCAGUUAGACAGAGUGGUUGUAGCAGCAGAUGAUGAGAGAAGAUGAAAAGAACGAUUGACCACUUUUUCGUGAAUAAUCUUAAGUAAAGCCCUGAUCCGUCCAAAAAUCAUAAGCAAUGCUCUGACACGGAGCCGUCAACCUCCCAAUUUAUGUCAAGCCCUGGUCCAUUUAUCUUGUUUAAAUUUCAGUUCAGUGAAGCACUUUGAGCACCAACACUUUUUCAGUAAGUUACCCUUCUUGUAGAUUUGUGCUUCAAAUAAAGAACUUUGUGUUGACCAGAUUGUUAGUUAAUUUUUUACAAGUAAAUCCUAUAUGGACAAAAAAAAGUUAACUGGUCAAACCAGUUAAAUGCGAUGCGGUCGAAAAUUUGGGAACACCUACCUUUUGUGCUGGUGCACCUUAGAACUUUUCUUAGGCGCACCAGUGCAACCAGUGCAAAAAGUUAGUAUAGAGCCCUGUUGCAUGAUGCAUUAUCAUCCUAUAAUGCUCUGUGGCAUGUGUAACUGAGGGAAUAUAUUUUUGAGUUACAGAGACUUAUGUAUGAUAGACCCUAAGCUCUAUCAUACACUCGACACAGGUGUUUUUUGUUAGUUUCAGCUCUUAAAGGGAAAGGGAGGUGAGAGUCUGAUUGGUUUACUGCACGUUUUGCCCAAAACACACUUAUGACUUAUUAAGAGAACAGGGACAAGCCUUUUAGACCUUUUGUCCCAUCCUUAAAAUAGCAAAAAUGGAUUUGGGCCCCCUAAGUUCACUUGUGCUUCAUAUCAUGUGUUUAUAUAGUUAAAAUAGGGUGCUUGGAGAAUCUUUGGCAAAGUUCAGUUUAGCCAUUCAACACCUUACUAACAUACUAUGUUGUGUUUGCCUCUCACUUAUCACCUGUCGUUUUGCUCCAGUACCUUUAACAACAUCAAUCUUACAAGAGAUACUCCCUCCAACACACAGAGAGCAGCUGUGGAGGGGAAACAUGCACGCUCUGUAGGAGACCCUCCACAGACCUCUAAAAGGGACUUUUAGGACAUGACAAGCCCAGGAGGAGACAAGGAGGGCGACGCCAAGCUUCAGCUACUGGUUAUAUCUGAAUUAUUUUGGAUUUGUCAUUGUAGGAAUUUCCUGUGUAAAUGUUGGACUAAAUCAAAUAAGAAGACUGUUAUUGAUGUUUGAGAGUUUAAAAUAUUCCAAUAUCUAAAAAAGUGAGAAGAACACAUCACCAAGAACAUAAGAGAAAUAUGUCUGAAUUGUUCAGUUUUGGGAAAAAAACAAACAUGCAGUGAUAGAUUAACAUGUUUUUAUUCUUCUUUGUGCUGUUUUUCAGUCAGUUUUUCAUGAAUGCUCUCUUCCAUCAGUGCAGAGGUUCCACUUACUGUUCCCUCAGCAGAGCUAAAUCCUCAAGAGCAAUUUGCUAAAUCAAAGUGAUGAAUUUAAGUUUACAUUGACGAGUUAUUACUGCAAUCUGCGUUUGUACUGUUGUACAGCAGGUGGCGCUGUUACACACCUUUGGAAAAAGAACAGAAUCCCAGAACACAGAACGUAUAUAUCUGAUCUGUUUUUAAUGAUUGUUCUGAGUGUAAUCUGGACCGGAUCUUUGACAAGAAAUAUAAUUAUCGCAGCUGUUUAAUCAAAGUGAUGCAUUUUUGAAGAAAUCUACCCACAUCAAAGGGCUGAUAAAAAGAACAACCGAAGAUGGAAGAAUACGGUUUAUUUAGUUUAAAAGCAGAGACUCUGUUCUUUCAUUUGACAUAUUGUUUGACCAUAUAUUUGCUACAGAAAAUGUACUGUGAGCCAUUUAAGUUUGGUGAAAAUGUUAAAAACCGCUGGUGCAGGCAGACAACUUAAAAAAAAGGCUUGGGGGAAAGAGUUAAAGAAUAACCCCUUAGACAAAACUGACAGUGCUGUAAAUGGAUUAAGAACACAGUUUGAAAUGGUGUUUAUUCUAAAUAUCGAUCAAUUAACUUGUUAUUGGUCCUCAUCUAAGUUGUCCCUUACAGCUUUAUUUCAUAUCUUCUUUACAGAAUAAAAUAUGGAGGGGCUCUCUUGAUAUUUUGACAUCUUAUCCUGCUGCUGAGCCUCAGAAAAGCUCUGAAUCAUCAUCAUGGUCUUCGCGGCAGCAGAAAGCCUCCGAGCGCUGGAAAGAAGCAAGACCAUACCACCUUAAAUGCCUUAAUGCAAAAGAGGAUGUUGGUCAGCCAUUGUGUUGGCUUGGCUAUUAGCCUCCUGCUAUAAGGUACUUCAUUCUCAGUGAAUACGAUUGAAGGAUGGUCUGGAAGGAUUCUUUGAGCCCACUGUACUUGUAUGGCUGGCCUGGGGGAGACGUGCACACAUGUCGCUGCUUUGUUUUUUCUGAAUGAAGCAACAGUGAAGUUGAUGGACUCAAAGACAGUGACGCAGGAAAAGACGCAUUGGAUCUUACCUACUGGAAUGUCAAAAGUGGAGUACAAGGAAUGUCGAGAGAUUGCCUGUUUUGCAGCAAAGAAAUAUAAAGUAAAGUAGCUGCUAGAGUGAAUGAUCUGGUUAUGUGCAGUCAUUUGAAAAAGAAAGUAACAGUUCUACUGUUAAAAAAAGAAAGCAGAACACCAGUGAUGAAUUGUCAUCAUUAUUUAACACUCUCAGCACAAUUGGCUCAAACUCUGCAAUUUAUCCCUGAUUGAGCCUUAUUCAGACCACUUUAUUCCCAAACCAAUGAGUGAAAACUUUCCUCUGGUGUUGACUGAACUGCGGCAUGAGGGGACACUUCACACGGACUACAGUGAUGUAUUGUCCAUUUGUAAUCAUUGAAAGAUUUCAGUAUCUGAAGAGCAAUAGCUAUAAGGGAUCAAGCUUCUUCUAAACUGGUUUCAGUGUCGUGCUGGUCGAAUCACAGCAUCUAAAAUGAAAAGUGUAUGUUGUACUGAUCCCAAUCCACCAGCUCAGAGCUUGAUCAACAGUGUACGCUAUCCCCAAUCAUACACAUUUACAGAUGAACACAAGAAAUCUUAUGAAAAUGUGAAAGUGGACAAGACAGGUUUUUUCAUUAAUCCAUGUGUGCCAUUCUUAGGUGCUUCCCCAGAUUGGCUGUUUUUUUUGUGGCGUCAGUGUCACUGAAAUUAAAUGUCCAUUCUGUGUCAAAUCUGACAAGUGAGACAGACUUACGGGAUUUUACUUGGAGGAGGAUGAUGAAGGGUAACUGAUACUAAACAGAAACCACCAGUCUUACUACCAAGCCCAAACGCAGCUCGGUGUGUGCGAAUUGGAGUCUGCUUAUUUUGUUGUUUGGACAGAGAAAGACUAGCAUGUUGAACACAUUUUGUUUAAUGAUGAGUUCUGUGACAUCUGUAAUAAAAGAAAGCACAUUUUUGACACCACCCUUAUGCCUGAACUAGUUUCUGACAAAGGUGCAAGUGGCAGUGGAAAGAAAAAAGCUGGUGUUACUGUGGCCAGGUUGAGUUUGGUCAGAGGAGUUUGUGUCACAAUGCAAAGUGAUAUUCAAAGGUUUCAUUAUUCAUGCUUUAAUGUUGUUAUUGCUCAGAAAGGAAAAUGGUACUGUUCAAACUGUUGUAAGCUACCUCAGUUUCUUCCAAAAAGGUUAAGGAAAGGUAUCAAGCACUAAAAACAACAGUUAUGUCAUAUGCAGUUAUCUGUUCUGUAGCUUGCAUGUUCAUGUAUAUCUGUGAUGUACAUCUGUGUAAUGUGUAAACGUUUCCCUAAAUACACAUUUUUAAUUAGGCUGUAAUAUUACUUUUAAUAUUUCAUUUAUUACAUUUUGUAAUGUAAUGUGUGUAAUUUGGCCAUUAUUUUGCUAGUUUUAUUUCAGAAUUUUGUAAUUAACAUUGUUUGUACAUCAUACUACAAGUAAAAGGUUGUGACAUA